rnacentral:rRNA from 1 species
GGUUAAGCGACUAAGCGUACACGGUGGAUGCCCUGGCAGUCAGAGGCGAUGAAGGACGUGCUAAUCUGCGAUAAGCGUCGGUAAGGUGAUAUGAACCGUUAUAACCGGCGAUUUCCGAAUGGGGAAACCCAGUGUGAUUCGUCACACUAUCAUUACGUGAAUACAUAGCGUAAUGAAGCGAACCGGGGGAACUGAAACAUCUAAGUACCCCGAGGAAAAGAAAUCAACCGAGAUUCCCCCAGUAGCGGCGAGCGAACGGGGAGCAGCCCAGAGUCUGAAUCAGCUUGUGUGUUAGUGGAACGGUCUGGAAAGUCCGACGGUACAGGGUGAUAGUCCCGUACACCAAAAUGCACAGGUUGUGAACUCGAAGAGUAGGGCGGGACACGUGGUAUCCUGUCUGAAUAUGGGGGGACCAUCCUCCAAGGCUAAAUACUCCUGACUGACCGAUAGUGAACCAGUACCGUGAGGGAAAGGCGAAAAGAACCCCGGCGAGGGGAGUGAAAAAGAACCUGAAACCGUGUACGUACAAGCAGUGGGAGCAUCCUUUUGGGUGUGACUGCGUACCUUUUGUAUAAUGGGUCAGCGACUUAUAUUCUGUAGCAAGGUUAACCGUAUAGGGGAGCCGAAGGGAAACCGAGUCUUAACUGGGCGUUAAGUUGCAGGGUAUAGACCCGAAACCCGGUGAUCUAGCCAUGGGCAGGUUGAAGGUUGGGUAACACUAACUGGAGGACCGAACCGACUAAUGUUGAAAAAUUAGCGGAUGACUUGUGGCUGGGGGUGAAAGGCCAAUCAAACCGGGAGAUAGCUGGUUCUCCCCGAAAGCUAUUUAGGUAGCGCCUCGUGAACUCAUCUUCGGGGGUAGAGCACUGUUUCGGCUAGGGGGUCAUCCCGACUUACCAACCCGAUGCAAACUGCGAAUACCGAAGAAUGUUAUCACGGGAGACACACGGCGGGUGCUAACGUCCGUCGUGAAGAGGGAAACAACCCAGACCGCCAGCUAAGGUCCCAAAGUCAUGGUUAAGUGGGAAACGAUGUGGGAAGGCACAGACAGCCAGGAUGUUGGCUUAGAAGCAGCCAUCAUUUAAAGAAAGCGUAAUAGCUCACUGGUCGAGUCGGCCUGCGCGGAAGAUGUAACGGGGCUAAACCAUGCACCGAAGCUGCGGCAGCGACACUAUGUGUUGUUGGGUAGGGGAGCGUUCUGUAAGCCGUUGAAGGUGUAUCGUGAGGUAUGCUGGAGGUAUCAGAAGUGCGAAUGCUGACAUAAGUAACGAUAAUGCGGGUGAAAAACCCGCACGCCGGAAGACCAAGGGUUCCUGUCCAACGUUAAUCGGGGCAGGGUGAGUCGACCCCUAAGGCGAGGCCGAAAGGCGUAGUCGAUGGGAAACAGGUUAAUAUUCCUGUACUUGGUGUUACUGCGAAGGGGGGACGGAGAAGGCUAUGUUAGCCGGGCGACGGUUGUCCCGGUUUAAGCAUGUAGGCGGAGGUUCCAGGUAAAUCCGGUACCUUUUUAACGCUGAGGUGUGAUGACGAGGCACUACGGUGCUGAAGUAACAAAUGCCCUGCUUCCAGGAAAAGCCUCUAAGCAUCAGGUAACACGAAAUCGUACCCCAAACCGACACAGGUGGUCAGGUAGAGAAUACCAAGGCGCUUGAGAGAACUCGGGUGAAGGAACUAGGCAAAAUGGUGCCGUAACUUCGGGAGAAGGCACGCUGAUAUGUAGGUGAAGUGAUUUACUCAUGGAGCUGAAAUCAGUCGAAGAUACCAGCUGGCUGCAACUGUUUAUUAAAAACACAGCACUGUGCAAACACGAAAGUGGACGUAUACGGUGUGACGCCUGCCCGGUGCCGGAAGGUUAAUUGAUGGGGUUAUCCGUAAGGAGAAGCUCUUGAUCGAAGCCCCGGUAAACGGCGGCCGUAACUAUAACGGUCCUAAGGUAGCGAAAUUCCUUGUCGGGUAAGUUCCGACCUGCACGAAUGGCGUAAUGAUGGCCAGGCUGUCUCCACCCGAGACUCAGUGAAAUUGAACUCGCUGUGAAGAUGCAGUGUACCCGCGGCAAGACGGAAAGACCCCGUGAACCUUUACUAUAGCUUGACACUGAACACUGGUCCUUGAUGUGUAGGAUAGGUGGGAGGCUUUGAAGUGUGGACGCCAGUCUGCAUGGAGCCAUCCUUGAAAUACCACCCUUUAAUGGCUGGUGUUCUAACGUGGACCCGUUACCCGGGUUGCGGACAGUGUCUGGUGGGUAGUUUGACUGGGGCGGUCUCCUCCUAAAGAGUAACGGAGGAGCACGAAGGUUAGCUAAUCCUGGUCGGACAUCAGGAGGUUAGUGCAAAGGCAUAAGCUAGCUUGACUGCGAGAGUGACGGCUCGAGCAGGUGCGAAAGCAGGUCUUAGUGAUCCGGUGGUUCUGAAUGGAAGGGCCAUCGCUCAACGGAUAAAAGGUACUCCGGGGAUAACAGGCUGAUACCGCCCAAGAGUUCAUAUCGACGGCGGUGUUUGGCACCUCGAUGUCGGCUCAUCACAUCCUGGGGCUGAAGUAGGUCCCAAGGGUAUGGCUGUUCGCCAUUUAAAGUGGUACGCGAGCUGGGUUUAGAACGUCGUGAGACAGUUCGGUCCCUAUCUGCCGUGGGCGCUGGAGAAUUGAGGGGGGCUGCUCCUAGUACGAGAGGACCGGAGUGGACGCAUCACUGGUGUUCGGGUUGUCAUGCCAAUGGCAUUGCCCGGUAGCUAAAUGCGGAAGAGAUAAGUGCUGAAAGCAUCUAAGCACGAAACUUGCCCCGAGAUGAGUUCUCCCUGAGACUUUAAGUCUCCUGAAGGAACGUUGAAGACGACGACGUUGAUAGGUCGGGUGUGUAAGCGUAGCGAUACGUUGAGCUAACCGAUACUAAUGAACCGUGAGGCUUAACCUU